AUGUUGUCCGGUCCCACGGUGAAGCCCUCCGUGUCUCUGCUCCCUCCCUCCUCUCUGCAGCUGUCUGAGGGAUCGGCCUCGCUGCUCUGCCUGCUGUCUGCCUACUCUCCACAGGGGGCGCUGGUGAGCUGGACGGUGGACGGCUCAGAGGUGAAGGACGGGGUUCUGACCAGCGCGGAAGAACAGAAGAAGGACGGUUACACACGCAGCAGCACCCUGACCCUCAGCAAAGCACUCUGGGAAAAGGGGGAGGAGUUUGUCUGUAAGGUCUCCCAUGACGGCGUCAAUCAUCCGGUCACGUUCAGAAAGAGCCAGUGUGAAGGCUAA